rnacentral:rRNA from 1 species
CGGACGUAUGGAUAUUGGGCUUAAGGGUGCGCAGGCGGGGAGUUAAGUCGGCGGUGAAAGGCUGUCGCUCAACGACAGGAGCGCCGUUGAAACUGAUUCUCUUGAGUACGAACGAGGUAUGCGGAAUGUGUGGUGUAGCGGUGAAAUGCAUAGAUAUCACGCAGAACUCCGAUUGCGAAGGCAGCAUACCAGACCGUAACUGACGCUGAGGCACGAAAGCGCGGGUAUCAAACAGGAUUAGAUACCCUGGUAGUCCGCGCCGUAAACGAUGAUUACUAGGAGUUUGCGAUACAGUGUAAGCUCUACAGCGAAAGCGUUAAGUAAUCCGCCUGGGGAGUACGCCGGCAACGGUGAAACUCAAAGGAAUUGACGGGGGCCCGCACAAGCGGAGGAACAUGUGGUUUAAUUCGAUGAUACGCGAGGAACCUUACCCGGGUUUGAACGCAUUCGGACAGGGGCGGAAACGUCCUCUUCAGCAAUGACCGUUUGCGAGGUGCUGCAUGGUUGUCGUCAGCUCGUGCCGUGAGGUGUCGGCUUAAGUGCCAUAACGAGCGCAACCCCUAUUGCCAGUUGCCAUCGAGUAAAGUCGGGGACUUUGGCAAGACUGCCGGCGUAAGCUGCGAGGAAGGCGGGGAUGACGUCAAAUCAGCACGGCCCUUACAUCCGGGGCGACACACGUGUUACAAUGGCAGGGACAAAGGGCAGCCACCCGGCGACGGGGCGCUAAUCCCAAAACCCUGUCUCAGUUCGGAUCGGAGUCUGCAACUCGACUCCGUGAAGCCGGAUUCGCUAGUAAUCGCGCAUCAGCCAUGGCGC